UUAAUGGACACCGUGUGUCUAA
rnacentral:misc_RNA from 1 species